CUCGGACCUGCUGUCUUCAUCACGUCUGUCGUCCUCUUCCUUAGCAUUGACUUCCUCAUCAUGUCUUUUCCCCUGAUCAGAGUACUGAUGAUCUAUUUGUUUAUCUUCACAGACACCUAAGACAGGCCUCACUGCUGGAUAACCUCUGCACAUAUCAUAAACGGUGGCUUUUACAGUGCUGAGAAACCUUCAAGUUAAUGAAAGUGAAACACUCUCAUGCAGCACAUAUUUACACCCAAGAUUUGAGUCCAGAAAGACUGAACCGACAGGGAAGGAGAAAGCGAGCAGGCGUGAGGAUGACUCACUCUUUUAGGAAGGCUGUGAUGAGCGUCAACAUGAGUCACACCAGGGAUUUGUUCACAGACACACUCCCAAACCAAAACGAGACACACAGAUGGCACAUGCCAGAUCUGCACUCCCCUGCAUCAAAGCAGUUUUCAUUUCUGAUGGGUAUCAGAAGUACUGAGCGUGUCAGGUUUAGGGACAAUACACAGCAAAGUGUCCUGAACCCUGAUGCUGGGACAAAAAAACACAGCAGAGUGGCAUCAUGUCCUACAUAAGGACACCUCAGGUCUGUAACAGUGCUAUGUAUUGGUGCUAUGGUUUCUCUCAUUUUAAUAUACCAUUUAAUAAACUUUAUUGUAAACUGAUUUAGAACAGUGGUAAAGCUGUUGGAUGUUUAUUUAAGGUGUCCUGCAAUGCAGUUGUAAUGACACCUGCUAGCCAAUCAGAAACAAUUACUUUCAAUGGCAAUGACAUCUGCCCAUUACAGAAAGCAAAAGCUGCUUCGAUGUUCAUAUGUGCACCUGACUAUUGCUUUAGGUCAGACUUCACAAAUUGUUAACCCAUCCCAUGCUUUAUUCCAUUCCAUAUGCCAGGCUCCCUUUAAUGACUAAUGCGAUGUAUGCACUGUAUGUACUGUCUAUUUUCUACCCAUUCCUUUG